rnacentral:rRNA from 1 species
AGCGAACGCUGGCGGCAGGCUUAACACAUGCAAGUCGAGCGGGCGUAGCAAUACGUCAGCGGCAGACGGGUGAGUAACGCGUGGGAACGUACCUUUUGGUUCGGAACAACCCAGGGAAACUUGGGCUAAUACCGGAUAAGCCCUUACGGGGAAAGAUUUAUCGCCGAAAGAUCGGCCCGCGUCUGAUUAGCUAGUUGGUGAGGUAACGGCUCACCAAGGCGACGAUCAGUAGCUGGUCUGAGAGGAUGAUCAGCCACAUUGGGACUGAGACACGGCCCAAACUCCUACGGGAGGCAGCAGUGGGGAAUAUUGGACAAUGGGCGCAAGCCUGAUCCAGCCAUGCCGCGUGAGUGAUGAAGGCCCUAGGGUUGUAAAGCUCUUUUGUGCGGGAAGAUAAUGACGGUACCGCAAGAAUAAGCCCCGGCUAACUUCGUGCCAGCCGCCGCGGUAA